CCUUCCCUCCUCCCUCCCUUCCCUCUUUUCUUCCUUUCGUUCUUUUCUUCCCUCUUUCCUUCUUUCUUUUACCCUUUUCUUUCUCCUUUCAUUCUCUCUCUCUCUCUCUCUCCUCCCCCCUUGCAUUAUUCAAACUGUCACUGGUUGGUGACUCGGAGGAUAUUAGCAUGCAUCAGACAUGCUGUUUGUCUGUUUGCUAACAUUCUUCAUUCAAGACUUGUUAACUGCCAGACAAGCUUAACGCACGCUUCCCUCGCCUUUCCCUUUCUCCUCUGGCUCUCCCUCUCUCUCUCUCUCUCUCAUGCCAGCCCGCUCUGCCUCGCCUAUUGUUAUUGCCGGGAGCUGGCAGCCGGGUGUCUGGGGGGGGGGGGCGGAGUGGGCAGCGGUGGGCAAGAGGUGGCAGGGGGCUGAAGAGGCUUUGCACAGUCCUGCUGGGUCAGCACUGCCUGCCUGCUCUCCCAGGCCUGCGUCCGUUUGCAGAACGCCGGCGCGAUCGCGGCCGCUCUUCCCGCCCCUGCUUUUCGCCGGAGACCGCGGACGAGCAAGACGGGCGGGCGGCCCCUUCGCGGCUGAAAGCUGCUUCCUCCUGGGUAAGCCUUGGUUUCUUUCCCCUUGAGCGCUUCUGGUUGAGUUUGGGUAGCCUUUUUUCUCCCCGAGGACGAUGCCCGCCGAGAGAGCGGAGCAGCCGAAGAGCCUUUCCGAGCCUGAAAAGGAAGUUUCGACAAAUAGAAAGGAGAUCUAUAGAUUUCCUUUGGGGAUCUUGAGGGAGAGUAACCCUCCCCAAUAUUCCCCCCCCCAAUAGAAAAAAGGCAACGGGGUUGGCUCUUUAUUCUCAGCAUCGGGUACAUCCUUGUGCCAACCUUGCUUCAAACCAGCCAGCUUUCAAUUUAUGAAAACGCCGCAAAGGUCAACAACACGGUUUCGUUCUUGAGGCUCUUGCUGAUUUCCUCUUUUAAAUUUUAUUUUAUUUUGUUUUGCCACCAUCCUCUCCUCUGAUUCCCCUGGUGUAUAAAUGCGCUGGAGAAUUGCUGAAGAAAGGGCUUUAGCAAAUGGAUCUCUUUGCCCAGGAUAUACAUUUUUUUCUACUU